UACGGAGGGAGCUAGCGUUGUUCGGAAUUACUGGGCGUAAAGCGCACGUAGGCGGCUUUGUAAGUUAGAGGUGAAAGCCCGGGGCUCAACCCCCGGAAUUGCCUUUAAGACUGCAUCGCUUGAAUCCGGGAGAGGUGAGUGGAAUUCCGAGUGUAGAGGUGAAAUUCGUAGAUAUUCGGAAGAACACCAGUGGCGAAGGCGGCUCACUGGACCGGUAUUGACGCUGAGGUGCGAAAGCGUGGGGGAGCAAACAGG
rnacentral:rRNA from 1 species